UACAGAGGGUGCAAGCGUUAAUCGGAGUUAUUGGGCGUAAAGGGCGCGUAGGCGGAUAUCUUAGUCGGAUGUGAAAUCCCUGGGCUUAACCUAGGAAUUGCAUUCGAUACUGGAUAUCUUGAGUAUGGUAGAGGAAAGCGGAAUUCCCGGUGUAGCAGUGAAAUGCGUAGAUAUCGGGAGGAACACCAGGGCGAAGGCGGCUUUCUGGACCAAUACUAACGCUGAGGCGCGAAAGCGUGGGGAGC
rnacentral:rRNA from 1 species